rnacentral:rRNA from 1 species
AGACGUCUACAUUAGAUACCCGCGUAGUCCCAGCCGUAAACUAUGCGCGUUAGGUGUAUCGGUGACCACGAGUUACCGAGGUGCCGAAGGGAACCGUGAAACGUGCCGCCUGGGAAGUACGGUCGCAAGGCUGAAACUUAAAGGAAUUGGCGGGGAGCACCACAACAGGUGGAGCCUGCGGUUUAAUUGGACUCAACGCCGGGAAGCUCACCGGAUAGGACAGCAGAAUGAUUGCCGGGCUGAAGACCCUGCAUGACUAGCUG